rnacentral:rRNA from 2 species
UUACAACUUUUAACAACGGAUCUCUUGGUUCUGGCAUCGAUGAAGAACGCAGCGAAAUGCGAUAAGUAGUGUGAAUUGCAGAAUUCAGUGAAUCAUCGAAUCUUUGAACGCACAUUGCGCCCCUUGGUAUUCCAUGGGGCAUGCCUGUUCGAGCGUCAU